rnacentral:rRNA from 1 species
CCUACGGGUGGCAGCAGUGAGGAAUCUUGGUCAAUGGACGAGAGUCUGAACCAGCCAAGUAGCGUGAAGGAUGACUGCCCUAUGGGUUGUAAACUUCUUUUAUAAAGGAAUAAAACGAGGCACGUGUGCCUUUUUGCAUGUACUUUAUGAAUAAGGAUCGGCUAACUCCGUGCCAGCAGCCGCGGUAAUACGGAGGAUCCGAGCGUUAUCCGGAUUUAUUGGGUUUAAAGGGAGCGUAGAUGGGUUGUUAAGUCAGUUGUGAAAGUUUGCGGCUCAACCGUAAAAUUGCAAUUGAUACUGGCAGUCGUGAGUACAGUUGAGGUAGGCGGAAUUCGUGGUGUAGCGGUGAAAUGCAUAGAUAUCACGCAGAACCCCGAUUGCGAAGGCAGCAUACCGGCGCCCUACUGACGCUGAGGCACGAAAGUGCGGGUAUCGAACAGGAUUAGAUACCCUUGUAGUC